AAGAGGUACGUUGUUGUUCAUUAAUAUUGUUUUUUUAAAGAUAGAUUUUGGUUUUUAGUGAUCUCUUUACAAAUAGGUACGUUGUUGGUCAUUAGUUUUUAACUUUUACUUUGGUAUUUAUUUAUACCUAUUAAUAGGUCUUUCUUGUCUAUGUUUUUUUAACAUGUAUUUUGGUUUUCAGUGAUCUCUUUAAAAAGAGGUACGUUGUUGGUCAUUAAUAUUUAACUUUUUCUUUGGUUUUUAUUUAUACCUAUUAAUAGGUCUUGUUAGUCUAUGUUUUUUUAAACAUGGAUUUGGGUCUUUAGUGAUCUCUUUAAUAAGAUGUACGUUGUUAGUCAUUCAUAUUUAACUUUUAAUUUGGUAUUUAUUUUUAUCUAUUUAUGAGGUCUUUCUAGUCUAUAUUUUUUAUAACAUGUAUUUUGGUUUUCAGUGAACCCUUAACCAUAGACGUACAUUGGUGGUCAUUAGAUUUAACUUUUAAUUUGGUAUUCAUUAAUAUCUAUUAAUAGGUCAUUCUCGUCAAUCCUUUUUAAAUAUGUAUUUUGGUUUUUAGUGAUCUCUUUAAAAAAGAGGUACGUUGUUGUUCAUUAAUAUUGUUUUUUUAAAGAUAGAUUUUGGUUUUUAGUGAUCUCUUUACAAAUAGGUACGUUGUUGGUCAUUAGUUUUUAACUUUUACUUUGGUAUUUAUUUAUACCUAUUAAUAGGUCUUUCUUGUCUAUGUUUUUUUAACAUGUAUUUUGGUUUUCAGUGAUCUCUUUAAAAAGAGGUACGUU
rnacentral:lncRNA from 1 species